AUGGUCCAGGAGAGCAUGGUGACCAUGGAGAGCUUCUCGUUGUCUCUGGUGGCCGUGGGGUCGGCGGCCGCGCUGGUCUACCUGUGCGUGGCCGCGUGGGUGAGCUGGCCGCGCCGCGUCGGCGAGAUCUUCCGGCGGCAGGGGAUCGACGGGCCGCCGCCCUCGUCCUUCCUCAUGGGCAACCUCUCGGAGAUGCAGGCGCGGGUGCAGCAGCACGCCGUCGCGUCGGCGGCGGAGGACGGCGCCGGCGACCUCCACAAGGGCGACGGCUUCGACGACUACUGCAAGCGGAUCUUCCCCUACUUCGACAAGUGGAGGAAGGCGUACGGGGACACGUAUCUGUACUGGCUCCGGCAGCGGCCGGCGCUGUACGUGACGGACCCGGAGCUGAUCCGGGAGAUCGGCCGGUGUGUGUCGCUGGACAUGGGCAAGCCGACGUACCUGCAGAAGGGCCAGGAGCCCAUCUUCGGCGCCGGCGUCCUCAAGACCAACGGCGCCUGCUGGGCGCGCCAGCGCAAGGUCAUCGCGCCCGAGUUCUACAUGGCCAAGGUCAGGGGCAUGGUUGGGCUCAUGGUCGCCGCGGCGCAGCCGCUACUGCGUUCGUGGGAGGACUCCGUCGACGGUGCCAAGGGUGGCGUCGCGGCGGUGGACGUCGACGCCGACAUCCGGAGCUUCUCCUUCGACGUCAUCUCCCGGGCCUGUUUCGGAGACGACCACUCCAGGGGGAGGGAGAUCUUCCUCCGGCUCAGGGCGCUGUCCGGGUUCAUGUCCGAGCCCAGCGUCAUCUUCACCAUCCCGUCGCUGAGGUAUCUCCCGACGGCGAAGAACCGGAGGAUCUGGAGGCUCACGCAGGAGAUCCGAUCACUGAUCCUGGAGAUCGCGAGGGGGCGCCGGGCGGCCACGGGGGACUCGCCGGGGCCCGACUUCCUGGGGUCCAUCAUCGACAACAGCGGCGACCAGCCGCGGCCGGACGACUUCGUGGUGGACAACUGCAAGAACAUCUACUUCGCGGGGCACGAGACGACCGCGGUCACCGCUACCUGGUGCCUCAUGCUGCUCGCCGCCCAUCCGGAGUGGCAGGACCGCGCGCGCGCCGAGGUGCUCGACGUCUGCGGGGGCGCCACCGGCGCCGCGGACCCGGACUUCGACAUGAUCUCCAGGAUGAAGACGGUGGGCAUGGUUGUGCAGGAGACGCUGCGGCUGUUCCCGCCGUCGUCGUUCGUGGUGCGGGAGACGUUCGGCGACAUUCGGCUGGGCCAGCUGCUCGCGCCCAAGGGCACCUACCUCUUCGUGCCGGUAUCCACCAUGCACCACGACGCCGCUUCUUGGGGCCCGACGGUGCACCGGUUCGACCCGGACCGGUUCAAGAACGGGGUGGCGGCGGCGUGCAAGAACCCGCAGGCGGCGUUCAUGCCGUUCGGCCUCGGCGCGCGCACCUGCCUCGGCCAGAACCUCGCGAUCGUCGAGGUCAAGACGCUCCUCGCCGUCAUCCUCGCGCGGUUUGCCAUCGCGCUCUCGCCGGACUACAGGCACUCCCCGGCGUUCCGGCUAAUCAUCGAGCCGGAGUUCGGGCUGCGCCUCCACAUACGCCGUAUUGAUGCUACUGCUACUCAGGAUGGCUUUGUGAAGUCCAACGAUCGACUAGUUAGCUAG
rnacentral:rRNA from 1 species